rnacentral:rRNA from 1 species
AAAUUCCUUGUCGGGUAAGUUCCGACCUGCACGAAUGGCGUAAUGAUGGCCAGGCUGUCUCCACCCGAGACUCAGUGAAAUUGAACUCGCUGUGAAGAUGCAGUGUACCCGCGGCAAGACGGAAAGACCCCGUGAACCUUUACUAUAGCUUGACACUGAACAUUGAGCCUUGAUGUGUAGGAUAGGUGGGAGGCUUUGAAGUGUGGACGCCAGUCUGCAUGGAGCCGACCUUGAAAUACCACCCUUUAAUGUUUGAUGUUCUAACGUUGACCCGUAAUCCGGGUUGCGGACAGUGUCUGGUGGGUAGUUUGACUGGGGCGGUCUCCUCCUAAAGAGUAACGGAGGAGCACGAAGGUUGGCUAAUCCUGGUCGGACAUCAGGAGGUUAGUGCAAUGGCAUAAGCCAGCUUGACUGCGAGCGUGACGGCGCGAGCAGGUGCGAAAGCAGGUCAUAGUGAUCCGGUGGUUCUGAAUGGAAGGGCCAUCGCUCAACGGAUAAAAGGUACUCCGGGGAUAACAGGCUGAUACCGCCCAAGAGUUCAUAUCGACGGCGGUGUUUGGCACCUCGAUGUCGGCUCAUCACAUCCUGGGGCUGAAGUAGGUCCCAAGGGUAUGGCUGUUCGCCAUUUAAAGUGGUACGCGAGCUGGGUUUAGAACGUCGUGAGACAGUUCGGUCCCUAUCUGCCGUGGGCGCUGGAGAACUGAGGGGGGCUGCUCCUAGUACGAGAGGACCGGAGUGGACGCAUCACUGGUGUUCGGGUUGUCAUGCCAAUGGCACUGCCCGGUAGCUAAAUGCGGAAGAGAUAAGUGCUGAAAGCAUCUAAGCACGAAACUUGCCCCGAGAUGAGUUCUCCCUGACUCCUUGAGAGUCCUGAAGGAACGUUGAAGACGACGACGUUGAUAGGCCGGGUGUGUAAGCGCAGCGAUGCGUUGAGCUAACCGGUACUAAUGAACCGUGAGGCUUAACCUUACAACGCCGAAGCUGUU